rnacentral:rRNA from 1 species
AAUAGAUACCCGGGUAGUCCACGCCCUAAACGAUGUCGACUGGUUGUUGGGGGGUUUGACACUCUCAGUAGCGAAGCUAACGCGUGAAGUCGACCGCCUGGGGAGUACGGCCGCAAGGUUAAAACUCAAAGGAAUUGACGGGGACCCGCACAAGCGGUGGAUUAUGUGGAUUAAUUCGAUGCAACGCGAAAAACCUUACCUACCCUUGACAUGUCCUGAAUCCUGGAGAGAUCCGGGGGUGCCCGAAAGGGAACGGGAACACAGGUGCUGCAUGGCUGUCGUCAGCUCGUGUCGUGAGAUGUUGGGUUAAGUCCCGCAACGAGCGCAACCCUUGUCAUUAGUUGCUACAUUCAGUUGGGCACUCUAAUGAGACUGCCGGUGACAAACCGGAGGAAGGUGGGGAUGACGUCAAGUCCUCAUGGCCCUUAUGGGUAGGGCUUCACACGUAAUACAAUGGCGCGUACAGAGGGUUGCCAAGCCGCGAGGUGGAGCCAAUCCCGAGAAAGCGCGUCGUAGUCCGGAUCGCAGUCUGCAA